CUCGUAGGUGGCCAACUAAGUCAGACGUGAAAUCCCCAGGCUUAACCUGGGAACUGCGUCUGAUACUGGAUGGCUUGAAUUCGGGAGAGGGAUGCAGAAUUCCAGGUGUAGCGGUGAAAUGCGUAGAUAUCUGGAGGAAUACCGGUGGCGAAGGCGGGCAUCCUGGACCGAGAUUGACACUGAUGAGCGAAAGCCAGGGGAGCAAACG
rnacentral:rRNA from 1 species